UGGGGAAUAUUGGACAAUGGGCGCAAGCCUGAUCCAGCCAUGCCGCGUGAGUGACGAAGGUCUUCGGAUUGUAAAGCUCUUUUGGCGGGGACGAUAAUGACGGUACCCGCAGAAUAAGCCCCGGCUAACUUCGUGCCAGCAGCCGCGGUAAUACGAAGGGGGCUAGCGUUGUUCGGAAUCACUGGGCGUAAAGCGCACGUAGGCGGAUUUGUCAGUCAGGGGUGAAAUCCCGGGGCUCAACCUCGGAACUGCCUUUGAUACAGCAAAUCUCGAGCUCGGAAGAGGUGAGUGGAAUUCCUAGUGUAGAGGUGAAAUUCGUAGAUAUUAGGAAGAACACCAGUGGCGAAGGCGGCUCACUGGUCCGUAGCUGACGCUGAGGUGCGAAAGCGUGGGGAGCAAACAGGAUUAGAUACCCCCGUAGUCC
rnacentral:rRNA from 1 species